rnacentral:rRNA from 1 species
GAUGAACGCUGGCGGCGUGCCUAAUACAUGCAAGUCGAGCGAACAGAUGAGGAGCUUGCUCCUCUGACGUUAGCGGCGGACGGGUGAGUAACACGCGGAUAACCUACCUAUAAGACUGGGAUAACUUCGGGAAACCGGAGCUAAUACCGGAUAAUAUAUUGAACCGCAUGGUUCAAUAGUGAAAGACGGUUUUGCUGUCACUUAUAGAUGGAUCCGCGCCGCAUUAGCUAGUUGGUAAGGUAACGGCUUACCAAGGCGACGAUGCGUAGCCGACCUGAGAGGGUGAUCGGCCACACUGGAACUGAGACACGGUCCAGACUCCUACGGGAGGCAGCAGUAGGGAAUCUUCCGCAAUGGGCGAAAGCCUGACGGAGCAACGCCGCGUGAGUGAUGAAGGUCUUCGGAUCGUAAAACUCUGUUAUUAGGGAAGAACAAAUGUGUAAGUAACUAUGCACGUCUUGACGGUACCUAAUCAGAAAGCCACGGCUAACUACGUG